GGAGUUUGGACCGUCUCUCAGUUCCAAUGUGGCCGUUCAACCUCUCAGUCCGGCUACCGAUCGUCGACUUGGUGGGCCGUUACCUCACCAACUAUCUAAUCGGACGCGAGCUCACCCCAUACCGGAUUGCUCCUUUUACCCCAGGGGCAUGCACCCCCGUGGUCUUAUGCGGUAUUAGCACCUGUUUCCAAGUGUUAUCCCCCUGUAUGGGACAGAUCGCUCACGCGUUACUCACCCGUCCGCCACUCGAAUCAUUCCCUUCCGGCCGAAGCCUUCCGCAAAUGAUCCCCGUUGACUUGCAUGUGUUAAGCACGCCGCCAGCGUUCGUCCUGAGCCAUGAUCAAACUACU
rnacentral:rRNA from 1 species